rnacentral:rRNA from 1 species
CCUACGGGUGGCAGCAGUGAGGAAUAUUGGUCAAUGGACGAGAGUCUGAACCAGCCAAGUAGCGUGAAGGAUGACUGCCCUAUGGGUUGUAAACUUCUUUUAUAUGGGAAUAAAAUGUUCCACGUGUGGGAUUUUGUAUGUACCAUAUGAAUAAGGAUCGGCUAACUCCGUGCCAGCAGCCGCGGUAAUACGGAGGAUCCGAGCGUUAUCCGGAUUUAUUGGGGUUAAAGGGAGCGUAGGUGGAUUGUUAAGUCAGUUGUGAAAGUUUGCGGCUCAACCGUAAAAUUGCAGUUGAAACUGGCAGUCUUGAGGACAGUAGAGGUGGGCGGAAUUCGUGGGGUAGCGGUGAAAUGCUUAGAUAGCACGAAGAACUCCGAUUGCGAAGGCAGUUCACUGGACUGCAACUGACACUGAGGCUCGAAAGUGUGGGUAUCAAACAGGAUUAGAGACCCCAGUAGUC